rnacentral:rRNA from 1 species
CCUACGGGAGGCAGCAGUGGGGAAUUUUGGACAAUGGGCGCAAGCCUGAUCCAGCCAUGCCGCGUGUGGGAAGAAGGCCUUCGGGUUGUAAACCACUUUUGUCAGGGAAGAAACGGUUUGUCCUAAUACGGCGGACUAAUGACGGUACCUGAAGAAUAAGCACCGGCUAACUACGUGCCAGCAGCCGCGGUAAUACGUAGGGUGCAAGCGUUAAUCGGAAUUACUGGGCGUAAAGCGUGCGCAGGCGGCUUUGCAAGACAGAUGUGAAAUCCCCGGGCUCAACCUGGGAACUGCAUUUGUGACUGCAUGGCUAGAGUACGGUAGAGGGGGAUGGAAUUCCGCGUGUAGCAGUGAAAUGCGUAGAUAUGCGGAGGAACACCGAUGGCGAAGGCAAUCCCCUGGACCUGUACUGACGCUCAUGCACGAAAGCGUGGGGAGCAAACAGGAUUAGAUACCCUGGUAGUCCACGCCCUAAACGAUGUCAACUGGUUGUUGGACGGCUUGCUGUUCAGUACGAAGCUAACGCGNGAGUGACGCGNGGAGCGGCGCGAGUAGUAAGUAAAGAAGUAGAGNGNGAGAGNGCGAGACGACGACGAGGGAGGAGG